GUGGGGAAUAUUGGACAAUGGGCGAAAGCCUGAUCCAGCCAUGCCGCGUGUGUGAAGAAGGUCUUCGGAUUGUAAAGCACUUUAAGUUGGGAGGAAGGGUAGUAACCUAAUACGUUGCUACUUUGACGUUACCGACAGAAUAAGCACCGGCUAACUUCGUGCCAGCAGCCGCGGUAAUACGAAGGGUGCAAGCGUUAAUCGGAAUUACUGGGCGUAAAGCGCGCGUAGGUGGUUCAGUAAGUUGGAAGUGAAAUCCCCGGGCUCAACCUGGUAACUGCUUUCAAAACUGCUGAGCUAGAGUACGGUAGAGGGUGGUGGAAUUUCCUGUGUAGCGGUGAAAUGCGUAGAUAUAGGAAGGAACACCAGUGGCGAAGGCGACCACCUGGACUGAUACUGACACUGAGGUGCGAAAGCGUGGGGAGCAAACAGGAUUAGAUACCCGUGUAGUCC
rnacentral:rRNA from 1 species